ACACGAUCAGAAUGAGAAGGGAAAUCGAAGUCUGUGAUUACAUACAAUCCUUGAGUUUAGAUCAUCUGAUCUGCAGGAGAAAAAGCAGGACAUAUCAACUUUGGCUUCCAGGGAUGAUAAGGCCACAUAAAUUUAGAAGGCCUUAGUAGAAAAAAUUUUACGAGAGAUAUGAAAUGAUUUUUCAACAAAAUCCCAGAGCCAAAAAGACCAGUUUAAGAGAAAAUAGAAACUUGAGA
rnacentral:lncRNA from 1 species